AUCAACCUAAUUACCUUGCAGGGUAUAGGACCAAAACCGAUGAUUCCAAUACACCCUACAUAGCUGGGUAUACAACAACUAAUGCCCAUGUGGCAAAUAAUCAACCUAAUUACAUUGCAGGGUAUAGGACUAGCACCACCCAAGAAUCCAAUACACCUUCUUACAUUGCAGGGUAUAGGACUAGCACCACCCAAGAAUCCAAUACACCUUCUUACAUUGCAGGGUAUAGGACUAGCACCACCCAAGAAUCCAAUACACCUUACAUUGCAGGGUAUAGGACUAGCACCACCCAAGAAUCCAAUACACCUUACAUUGCAGGGUAUAGGACUAGCACCACCCAAGAAUCCAAUACACCUUACAUUGCAGGGUAUAGGACUAGAACCACCCAUGAUCCUAAUGCACCUUACAUAGCUGGGUACACAACAACUAGUGCCAAGAAAGCUCCAAAAGGGUCAUCUCAUGAUGAUACCACUGGACCUUACAUAACCCAAUAUGGUGGACCCGGUCCCAAAAAUGACCCAAAAGAAUCUUCCAACUUGGACCAUACAGAGGCUUUCAAGACAGGAUUUUUCGCCUUGGAUGAUCUAUAUGUUGGGAAUGUGAUGACCCUCCAAUUUCCAAUUCAAG
rnacentral:lncRNA from 1 species